rnacentral:rRNA from 1 species
GACGAACGCUGGCGGCGUGCCUAAUACAUGCAAGUUGAGCGCUGAAGGUUGGUACUUGUACCGACUGGAUGAGCAGCGAACGGGUGAGUAACGCGUGGGGAAUCUGCCUUUGAGCGGGGGACAACAUUUGGAAACGAAUGCUAAUACCGCAUAAAAACUUUAAACACAAGUUUUAAGUUUGAAAGAUGCAAUUGCAUCACUCAAAGAUGAUCCCGCGUUGUAUUAGCUAGUUGGUGAGGUAAAGGCUCACCAAGGCGAUGAUACAUAGCCGACCUGAGAGGGUGAUCGGCCACAUUGGGACUGAGACACGGCCCAAACUCCUACGGGAGGCAGCAGUAGGGAAUCUUCGGCAAUGGACGAAAGUCUGACCGAGCGACGCCGCGUGAGUGAAGAAGGUUUUCGGAUCGUAAAACUCUGUUGGUAGAGAAGAACGUUGGUGAGAGUGGAAAGCUCAUCAAGUGACGGUAACUACCCAGAAAGGGACGGCUAACUACGUG